UAGAUGUGUGUUGCAAUUUCAAAGAAUGUUUCAGGUUGUUGGUCGAAGAAGUGUCUAUGAUCACAAAAAUGAGCACUGUCAUUGGAAAGUAUAUAAAAGGUUUUAAAAUUUUCCUGUCUUAUCUUACAUGAAGUGUUUUGAAAAUUAUACGAUUGCUUGUGAUCAAUAGUUUCAAAAAAUCCCGGCAGAAUAUUGCGAAAUAUAGCAUGAUCAUGUUUCUUACAACACAAAAUACAACAAAAAUAAUAAACACAAUCUUUUACGCCUAAAUAUUUCUUGUUGUAUUAAUUUCGAAAAUUUCCGUUUUGUGGUUCCUCGUUUACUUGAUUAAUUUUUG